GACUCAUAGGUCUACCUUAGUCCUGCUAAGUCUAAAGGUUUGCGGUUCAAGUCCGUAAGAGUCC
rnacentral:tRNA from 1 species